rnacentral:rRNA from 1 species
AGGACGAACGCUGGCGGCGUGCCUAAUACAUGCAAGUCGAACGGUCUUUCUAUGGAAGCUUGCUUCCACUGAAAAGAUAGUGGUGAACGGGUGAGUAACACGUGGGUAACCUGCCCAUAAGAGGGGGGAUAACAUCCGGAAACGGGUGCUAAUACCGCAUAGUUUUCUUGAUCGCAUGAUCGGGAAAGGAAAGACGGCCUUUGUGCUGUCGCUUAUGGAUGGACCCGCGGCGUAUUAGUUAGUUGGUGAGGUAACGGCUCACCAAGACGAUGAUACGUAGCCGACCUGAGAGGGUGAUCGGCCACAUUGGGACUGAGACACGGCCCAAACUCCUACGGGAGGCAGCAGUAGGGAAUCUUCCGCAAUGGACGAAAGUCUGACGGAGCAACGCCGCGUGAGUGAAAGAAGGUUUUCGGAUCGUAAAACUCUGUUGUCAGAGAAGAACAAGUUGGAGAGUAACUGCUCCAGCCUUGACGGUAUCUGACCAGAAAGCCACGGCUAACUACGUGCCAGCCGCCGC